rnacentral:rRNA from 1 species
UGAAUACGAGACGCUAAGGCGUCGAAGUAGUGUAUGUCAUACUUCCAAGAAAAGCUUGCACUGUCAUAGAUAAAAAACGCCUGUACCAUAACCGACACAGGUGGGUAGGUAGAGUAUACUAAGGGGCGCGAGAUAACUCUCUCUAAGGAACUCGGCAAAAUAACUCCGUAACUUCGGGAGAAGGAGUGCCUUAUUCGUAAGGUUGCAAUAACAAGAUCCAAGCAACUGUUUAUCAAAAACACAGGCCUCCGCUAAGUCGUAAGACGAUGUAUGGGGGCUGACGCCUGCCCAGUGCCAGAAGGUUAAAGAAGUUGGUUAGCAAUUGCGAAGCUGAUAACUGAAGCCCUGGUGAACGGCGGCCGUAACGAUAACGGUCCUAAGGUAGCGAAAUUCCUUGUCGGGUAAGUUCCGACCCGCACGAAAGGCGUAAUGAUUUGGAUACUGUCUCGGAGAGGGGCUCGGUGAAAUAGACUUGUCUGUGAAGAUGCGGACUACCUGCACCAGGACAGAAAGACCCUAUGAAGCUUUACUGUAACUUGAAAUUGAAAUUGGACUUUAUUCGCGCAGUAUAGGUGGGAGGCGUUGAUUAUAAUCUUGUGGGAUUAUUGGAGCCAUCAGUGAGAUACCACUCUUGUAAUGUUAGAUUUCUAACUUUGAAUCAUUAUCUGGUCAAAGAACAGUUUCAGGCGGGCAGUUUGACUGGGGCGGUCGCCUCCUAAACGGUAACGGAGGCGUACAAAGGUUUCCUCUGAACGGUUAGAAAUCGUAUCUAGAGUGUAAAGGCAUAAGGAAGCUUGACUGUGAGACCUACAAGUCGAGCAGGGACGAAAGUCGGUCUUAGUGAUCUGACGGUACUGAGUGGAAAGGCCGUCACUCAACGGAUAAAAGUUACUCUAAGGAUAACAGGCUGAUCUCCCCCAAGAGUUCACAUCGACGGGGAGGUUUGGCACCUCGAUGUCGGCUCAUCGCAUCCUGGGGCGGUAGUACGUCCCAAGGGUUGGGCUGUUCGCCCAUGAAAGCGGUACGCGAGCUGGGUUCAGAACGUCGUGAGACAGUUCGGUCCAUAUCCGGUGUAGGCGUUAGAAUAUUGAGAGGAGCCUUCUUUAGUACGAGAGGACCGAGAAGGACAUACCUCUGGUGUACCAGUUAUCGUGCCAACGGUAAACGCUGGGUAGCUAUGUAUGGAGUGGAUAACCGCUGAAAGCAUCUAAGUGGGAAGCCCACCUCAAGAUAAGUAUUCUCAUC